AUUGAACGCUGGUGGCAGGCCUAACACAUGCAAGUCGAACGGUAACAGGAAACAGCUUGCUGUUUCGCUGACGAGUGGCGGACGGGUGAGUAAUGUCUGGGAAACUGCCUGAUGGAGGGGGAUAACUACUGGAAACGGUAGCUAAUACCGCAUAACGUCGCAAGACCAAAGAGGGGGACCUUCGGGCCUCUUGCCAUCGGAUGUGCCCAGAUGGGAUUAGCUAGUAGGUGGGGUAACGGCUCACCUAGGCGACGAUCCCUAGCUGGUCUGAGAGGAUGACCAGCCACACUGGAACGGAGACACGGUCCAGACUCCUACGGGAGGCAGCAGUGGGGAAUAUUGCACAAUGGGCGCAAGCCUGAUGCAGCCAUGCCGCGUGUAUGAAGAAGGCCUUCGGGUUGUAAAGUACUUUCAGCGGGGAUGAAGGGAGUAAAGUUAAUACCUUUGCUCAUUGACGUUACCCGCAGAAGAAGCACCGGCUAACUCCGUG
rnacentral:rRNA from 1 species